CCUACGGGUGGCAGCAGUGGGGAAUAUUGCGCAAUGGGCGAAAGCCUGACGCAGCGACGCCGCGUGGGUGAUGAAGGCCUUCGGGUUGUAAAGCCCUGUCGGGUGGAACGAACGAUCUGGCGGCGAAUAACCGCCGGGUGUGACGGUACCACCGAAGGAAGCCCCGGCUAACUACGUGCCAGCAGCCGCGGUAAGACGUAGGGGGCGAGCGUUGUUCGGAUUUACUGGGCGUAAUGCGCGCGUAGGCGGCGCACAACCUCGGCUUACACGAGACCCCGCAUCCGAUACUGUCUGGCAAGAGUCUAGGAGAGGAAAGCGGAAUUCCCAGUGUAGCGGUGAAAUGCGUAGAUAUUGGGAGGAACACCGGUGGCGAAGGCGGCUUUCCGGACUAGUACUGACGCUGAGGCGCGAAAGCUAGGGGAGCGAACGGGAUUAGAUACCCUGGUAGUA
rnacentral:rRNA from 1 species